UGCCAGCAGCCGCGGUAAUACAGAGGGUGCAAACGUUGUUCGGAAUUACUGGGCGUAAAGCGUAUGUAGGCGGCCUUGUAGGUCGGAUGUGAAAGCCUUUGGCUCAACCAAAGAAGUGCAUUCGAAACCACAGGGCUAGAGUCCCGGAGAGGAAAGUGGAAUUCUCGGUGUAGAGGUGAAAUUCGUAGAUAUCGAGAGGAACACCUGUGGCGAAAGCGGCUUUCUGGACGAGGACUGACGCUGAGAUACGAAAGCGUGGGGAGCAAACAGGAUUAGAUA
rnacentral:rRNA from 1 species